GGAGGCCCGCCUAUCGAACAAGAAGUGCGGAAGGCUUGAACAACAGUGAGAACAGGGCAUGGUAUAAUGCAACAGGGUAUGACAACAACUGCCGGUCCCAAAAACAGAGAGUUUAUUACUUUAUUGCCAAGACUCCAACUCACACUCAUUGAGGAAGACUACCCACUGGGACAAUAAAAUCAUUGAAUAGAUACAUAUGGAGGACUGGCUGGGCUCCUCACCCCUGAGGCUUCGACGACCAGGUGGCAUAGUCGGGCAGUCUCCCCGGGACCGUAGGAAGUGAAGGAACCACAGCAGCUGCCUGGGUCAGAGCUUGGCCAGUCAAGACAGAGGUCAUGAAGGCAAUUUUGGCUUGGUCCCCAACACACAGAGAUGGCUGGAGCUUUAAACGUUGGAUGCAAUGGGACAGGAAGGCGCUGCAUCAGGUUGGGGAUCCAUCGAAGUGCCCGGGCACUGGAAUCUGGGACUCAGAGAGAGGUGGUUGACUAUCAUGGGGUUGCUGUAUCGAGACGGACAGUUGGAAGAGAACAGUGAGCAGAUGGUCAGUGCUUUCCUGCUGCUUCUAGAUCAUAAGCUCAUGUCAAUGGAUGGCUUCCUUUAGAGGAGCAUACUCUGCUGGGUCAAUUGAAGCUAAACUCAUCCUGUUGGCAACUGCAGUGCAGCAUAGAUGAAUUGGCGGGGAGCAAUAACUUUAAUAAUAAAUUGCAAAACAACAAGCCAUGAGGGAACACAAAGCCAGAGAGAUCUGAUACUCACCAUGACAAGGCUAGGAGUGUCUGGAUGAGUGAACAAGGAUUGUGGAUUGGAGCUGGUUUUAAAUAGGCUGCAGGUGAUGAGUUGGGAAUGAGUGGUAGCUGAUUCCUGUUAACUGGGUGGUGACCUAUCUAUGCAAGCCUGACUGCUUUCUGUCAUGAGGUGACCCAGAAAUGAACACAAUAUUCCAAGUGUGGUCUAACCAGGGUUUUAUAGAGCUGCAGUUUACCAAUUGGUGAUAUAGGAUUGAACAUAAUCCCAUGAGUUAUGAAGGUCAACAUACCAUACACCUUCGUAACCACCCAAUCACCUUGCAUGGCAACUUAGAGGGAUCUAUGGACGUAGAGCCCAAUAUCCCUCUGUUCCUGCAGACUGUUAAGAAUCCUGCUAUUAACCCUGUAAUAUGCCUUCAAGUUCAACUUUCCAAACUAUCACUUCAUACUUGGCAGUUAUUACCAUUCGACCAUCAGGCUCUUGAAUUAGAGGUAAUAACUUCACUCAUCCCAUCACUGAACUGUUGUGACAACCUAUAGAUUAAUUUUCAAGGACUCUUCAUCUCAUGUUCUCAGUAUUUGUUGCUUGUUUGCUUAUUUAUUUAUUUACUGAAUUGUUUGUUUGUAUUUGCACAGUUUGUUGUCUUUUGCACAUUGGUUGUUGGGCAUGGUUUUUUUUUAAUGAUUCUAUUGUUUCUUGGGUUUACUGUAUA